GUUACAGACCUUACUGCCCGCGUGUCUGUUGCGGAGAAGCGGGCUGACGCCGCUGUUGAGGCCAAGGAUGCCUUGGUGUCCUCUUUUAACCAGCUGGAGGCUGACCGUGAGUGGUUGCGGACUCACGGUAUCGCGCGUAUUGUUGAGGCUAUCAUGAAUGCCCCUGAGACCGCAUCUGGUUUGGACCUGGUUAAGGAACGUGCGCGCGAUGCUGGCUUUAAAGCUGGU
rnacentral:lncRNA from 1 species